GAUGAACGCUGGCGGCGUGCCUAAUACAUGCAAGUCGAGCGAACAGACGAGGAGCUUGCUCCUCUGACGUUAGCGGCGGACGGGUGAGUAACACGUGGAUAACCUACCUAUAAGACUGGGAUAAAUUCGGGAAACCGGAGCUAAUACCGGAUAAUAUAUUGAACCGCAUGGUUCAAUAGUGAAAGACGGUUUUGCUAUCACUUAUAGAUGGAUCCGCGCCGCAUUAGCUAGUUGGUAAGGUAACGGCUUACCAAGGCAACGAUGCGUAGCCGACCUGAGAGGGUGAUCGGCCACACUGGAACUGAGACACGGUCCAGACUCCUACGGGAGGCAGCAGUAGGGAAUCUUCCGCAAUGGGCGAAAGCCUGACGGAGCAACGCCGCGUGAGUGUUGAAGGUCUUCGGAUCGUAAAACUCUGUUAUUAGGGAAGAACAAAUGUGUAAGUAACUAUGCACGUCUUGACGGUACCUAAUCAGAAAGCCACGGCUAACUACGUG
rnacentral:rRNA from 1 species